AAGCUGGAGCUUGCUCCGGCCGAUUUAGUGGCGGACGGGUGAGUAACGCGUGGGUAACCUGCCUCAUACAGGGGGAUAGCAGUUGGAAACGACUGGUAAAACCGCAUAAGCGCACGGUGUCGCAUGACACAGUGUGAAAACACUCCGGUGGUAUGAGAUGGACCCGCGUCUGAUUAGCUAGUUGGUGAGGUAACGGCCCACCAAGGCGACGAUCAGUAGCCGGCCUGAGAGGGUGAACGGCCACAUUGGGACUGAGACACGGCCCAAACUCCUACGGGAGGCAGCAGUGGGGAAUAUUGCACAAUGGGGGAAACCCUGAUGCAGCGACGCCGCGUGAGUGAUGAAGUAUUUCGGUAUGUAAAGCUCUAUCAGCAGGGAAGAUAAUGACGGUACCUGACUAAGAAGCACCGGCUAAAUACGUGCCAGCAGCCGCGGUAAUACGUAUGGUGCAAGCGUUAUCCGGAUUUACUGGGUGUAAAGGGUGCGUAGGUGGCAAGGCAAGUCUGAAGUGAAAAUCCGGGGCUCAACCCCGGAACUGCUUUGGAAACUGUUUAGCUAGAGUACAGGAGAGGUAAGUGGAAUUCCUAGUGUAGCGGUGAAAUGCGUAGAUAUUAGGAGGAACAC
rnacentral:rRNA from 1 species